GAGCACAGCUAGGGCGCGUGGGUGCUGUACCACGAGCAACUGAUGUGUCGGGAGCGCGCCGCGGCGUCCUUCUUCGUGCGCGAGGGUGCUGGCCAUUGGACCCGUGCUCAAAGGUUCGCGACCGCCGCCAUGUCUGCAACGCCAUCUGGGAGAGGGCCGACUGCUAGGAUUGAUCCUACACCCCGGGGGAAACUAACGUCAUCCUUGGUGAUGGCUGGACUCGCGGUGAUGACCGACAUGGCUCUCCCUGCCGGAUUAGGAGGAACCAACGACGAGCCGGAGUUGGAAUUGUUGCUCGCUGUGGUCACCAUCUCUUGAUAGAAUUGGGGUUGCCACAUCUGCAAUUUGGAUUUUUUCCUCUCCGUCUCAGGUGCAUGUGUGUGUGUGUGCAUACUGGCGCAACCACGUAAGGGCGUCGAUACGAGCACGAGGACAGGGAUCGUGCAGGAUAGUAGGCACUCCCGCUCUUUGCUUCUUCCCCGUUGCCAAUUAGGGUCCGCCGAUGUCAUGUUUAAAGGGGAAAUUCCUAUUCAUGGAACAUCUAUGUUAAGUCUGCAAAUUCAGUGGGUCUAUACAUGCUUUGUCUAUCCUAUAAGUAACUAGAUAUGUCUAAAUGCUUAAAUUAAUGUUUAGUGCAGCAUAGCUAAUUUGAUAAGAGCCACCAUAGGUGCUUUCUUAAAUGGUUUAUAUGUUGCAGAUAUGCACGGGUGCCUCUAACGGUGGACUCGGAGAUUCGGUGAUGCAAACUAAUUUCUAUCGGUUGCUACAAUUCUAUCAAAUAGAGUUGGUUUUUGUAUGGGUCUUUGUUUUCUAUUUAGCAUUGUAGUUUGUUUAUCGUCUUAUAUGUAGGUGUUUCUUGGAUAACUGUUAGGUGUUUCCUGCUGUUGAAUGUCAUGUCAAAGUAGCUCUCGCUAUUGUAGUAUACAUAUUGGAUUUUUCCCAGCUCAUCUCAAGCAGGUUGAAAUUGAGUGCACACAGCCCAGUUGUGUGUCACUACAAAGAAACUUCCAUAUUCAAGAAAAAAUGGUUCUGAGUGGAUUCAUUCGGAGAAAAUGAUUUUGAUUUUGGUCAGGUUUUGAGUAGAGGACAAGACAAGGUCCACAAGGAUAUGAUUACCCUGUUGGAUUGAAGAGCAUUAGGGAUCAAGAGUUAAGAUGCCAUAAAUCUGUUGAUUACAAGUAGGCCUGCCGACACACACGAGGUUCCAUCUCUCGAAUUGUAUCCAAGAGUAACUUCACGUUAGUUAAAAGGACAGCCCGGUGCACAAAGCUCUCCCGCUCUGAGCGGGGUCCGGGGAAGGGUCAGACCAACUUUGGGUUCUUAUCAAAUUGCAUUGGUCGUGUGAGUCUAGGACCAACACUUUGAAAUUUUACACUUAUCAUGGUAUCUAGAACAAGGAAUUUUUGCACUACUGAUGAUAUAUGACUUUUACUAUAGCAUUUGAACUAUAAAGAUGCAUUUCUAAUCAAGCCAUUAUUUGAACUCCAGAUUUGGAUGAUAAUUUUCUGUAGCAACUCGAUCUCCUUCUAAAAAAAGGCCUAUGAAAGUAUGAAGUUAAAUGGAACAAACUUAACCUUGUCUUUUGAAAGUACAUCUGUAAUGUGUUAUACCAGAAAAGGGCUUAAAGACUCUUGCAAUGGGUGAAACUGGCAUGCGAACUAUGGAGACAAGAAACAUUGUAUACGAAGAAAUACAUGACCAUCUGUAGAUACAUUAUAAUCUACAAACUCAUGUACGUUCACUGCUAUGCCUAUACUUCCAGUAUAUCCAGCUGGUUACUAAAUGUUUGAUGAUUAUAUUGUCUGUGUGAUGUUGCUGUCCAUUUCUGGUUUACACGGGAGUUUUUUCUGAUGGCAAUCCACUCAUUUUCAAUAUGUAUACACUAUGCACUUAGUUAAUUGAAGUCCUUUCAUGCUCCAUCACUUCGAGGAUCUGUUUUUUGCAGACAAGAUCAGAUGGCCCAAACUCAUCUCCCUGAUAGCACUGCCUUCGCUAGAGCCGCGAGCUUAUUUUCCUUUUAGCUUUAUAGUUGGUUCUGAAACACACUUAUACCUGGUAGUUUGUGCUCAAUUGUUUUGUGUUAUGCAUUUUCCUGUGUAGGUGUCCUGCCAUAUAAUCAAUCUAACUGAAUGGUUUGUUUGGCCACCACCUAAGAAUAAUAAUGAAUCACACUGACAAUUAGCCUUACUGGAUGGUAUGUUUGGUUGGUGAUGCAUGCUACAGAGGGAAUAAUUACAUGUUCGCAAACAACAUCAGUCCAAGCAAGGCUAACGGCUAUGAAAAGCUGACACGCCCUCCUACUUUGCUGUCAAUUUGUUGUCAUUAGCAUUUAUUUGCCUGCAAGACAUUUGGUCUUCUUUGUUUUUAGUCUUCUUGGUGUCCGAAUGGAAAGGAUGCUUUUCAUUAUCGCCAAUAAGAUUUCUGCAUACAUGUCUAUUUUUGCGAUUAACCAACUCUCUGAACGGUUGUUGUUUGUUGAACACCUGGUCUUAUUUUUUUACUUCUCUUGCUGUCCGACCUGAAAGCAUACUUUUCGGUAUUGCCAAUGAGGAUUCCUCAUUCCUGUCUAUGUUUGUUUGACUGCUCCUGUUGGCGAGCCCAAGAGUCUCAUGGAUGAUAGGUUUGUCUGACUGCUCCUGUUGGCGAGCCCAAGAGUCUCCCAAAUCUCUUUAUGUUGCUAAAUGGCAUGUAAACGACACAGUAUACAUUUCCCCCAUUGAACCUGCCCUAUGAAUUAUAUGUAUGUAACCACAGCUUAGCAAUAUUAGUAUCACUAGCUUAUUCGUAGUACUCCGAUGGCUUACAAGAUAAUUUGUAUUGUUUUGUUUGUAGUCUGUCUUGACAAAGAAGGUCGCCGUGUUGUUCCGGACACUUCUUGAUGGAAUCAGAGUUUGGACGGCAAAAAGAGCAAAUGGUGGAUCAGUUGUUGGAGGACGGGAAGAUCCUGAGUGUGCUCAACGACUCGGAAGGGAAGGUAAUCAACUUCAUCACUCGGUAAUGGGACUUCAACAGAUUGUUAACGUUCAUUUCUACAUCAUCUUCUUACAGAAAAUGUCUCCAUGGCACAAAGCUACUGAUGAGCUGAGAUGCAGAGGCAGCCUGGUACUAAUGAACUGAACUGAGAUAUGGAAUGACAAUAUUGGAACUAGAUCCACGAGGUGUGUAUAAAGGGAACCAACAUAUGAAAGAUGUCUAGCUGUUUUGGCUUCCUCCUUCCAUGACCAAAAGAACGUUCUCAUGUGAUAUUAACCUGUGAUGCCAUUUUCAACAGAAAAUUUGCAUUGCAAUUAGGUUGAUUUUAACGUGUAACAUAGCAUACAGGCUUAUUUCAGUGAAAUGUUUCAUGGUACUUAUCUUAA